GGUCAGAGUGGAUGGCCCAGGAAACUAAGACCAUAGCAUGUAAGAUCUUGCUCAUCCACAGAUAUCACUAUAUACAGCAAUUCUGAUUCUUCAAACAUCAUCUCCACAGAGCUGUUUAUCCUGUGGCAUGCUUAGUUGUUUCUGCACUGCUUUGCAAUGAAGAUUCAUUACUGUAUCUUAAUGUUUCUCUUUCUGGGCCUGUUGUCGAACUCAGGAAGUGAAGAUAUUCACGAAGUCAACAGUACCCUGGACUGCAAAAGUCGAAUGUUGUGUAGUUCCGAGAAUACAAAUGGAAACUGCUCUGAUGUUCAGAAAGUGGGGCUGUGCAUCUUACGUCUUAGUCGAACGCCUCAGCCACAGACCUAAAGAAAUUGGAAACCAGGAAUGCAAGAGGAUCACCUCCUUUGAUGAAUUAAAUUAGAAAACAUA
rnacentral:lncRNA from 1 species